rnacentral:misc_RNA from 1 species
UGAGGAGGGGCGCAAACGUUCCAGCGGAUACAAAAGCGCACAGCCGAGAGAGAGAGACGAAGAAAGGAACUCAUUACAGCGAAGACACAAAAAAAGAGAAAGAGGAGACGAAGCACGAAGAAGCGCACGGUAAUAGAGAGGGAAGCGGCGCGAACAAGAAACGCGAAGGAGUGCCGCUUCUGUGCUUGCCAGCGAGGCCCGACGCACCAAGAACAACCACGAGCUCCUCACCUUCCCUCUUGUUACCCUCCUGUCCUUCCUCCCUCUCGUAAUUCCGGUGCGACCACGAAAGAGCAACCACAAGGAAACAGACGGGUGCCUCCAUUCCAGUGGUACGGAACACACACCCACACACACGCACGGAGGCGCCUUCUCGCCCUCUUCUCUCUCUGUUUCUGUCCUUUUCUUACAAACCCUCACCGCAACUCUUCACUUGGACACAACCUGUGCAUAGGUCUCGGCGUCGUGCUCGCAGCGGCGCGUCUGUGAUUCCGAGUGUGUGCCAGCCGUGAAGGCAUUUGGCUGUUGUGGUUGCGUGUGUCUUGUCCUGUUGGUCGCACGCCCCAAUUUUACCCCAGUCCCCACCACCAGUGCUGUCGCCUCUUUUUGCGUCAUCUCGCUCGCCUGCAUCGCCACCGCUGCUCCGCUGCUGACGUUCUCCGUUCCACGCUCAUUCGCUGACGAUCUCACGGACACCCGCUCUUUAUCCCUUCGUCGGUUAGUCUUCCUCCUCCUUGUGCGUGGGUGCGUCCUUUCGUAUUGUUGUUGGAUCAUCUUCAAGUGAUUCUUAUGCUUUUGUGUUCAUGUGUUGGCCUUGUUCUUUGUUGCCCCCUCCCCCGUCUCUGUCUCCUCGACUCGCCGUGUCAAGUCUUUCUGCACCCUCCCACCCUCCCUCUCUGCGCUUGCGCCUGUGCUGUUCCAGUUGGCGCGAUCGUUCACGAUUUCUUGUUUUCUUGCUCGACUCGCCAGAAGCGUGCAUGCAAAUACACAGACACCCCGACGCACGCACAUACCUGCAGAGGCAGUCCGUAUUCACCGGCGCAUUGAUGCGAACCCGCACACUCGAAAGGCUAAGUCUGCCCUCGCCCUCCCCUUUACAUCUCGCGCCCCCUGCCCCCCUUCCGUCCGCACACACACACAAAAAAAAACACAUACACGUACAAACCACACCUACAUCAUCUCAGCGCUGACAGUCGUUUUUAUGUUGCUUCUGUGAUUCGCUUUUCCUUUACGCUCUCUCCCUCCUUCAGUCUUUCCUCCUUUUUUUACUUCGACUCCUUGUAUCUGGCUUCGAGCCGUGGUUCCCUCGCACCUGCAACACAUACGUACUCAAUUUUGACACUGAGAAGGACUGCUCCGCUGACUCCCCGCCCUGCUCGCUCGCGCGCUCUCUCUGUUUCUCGCUGCUCACUCUCCGCCGCUGUGCAAGCCACAGGCCUCAUCCCACGAGGUGAAGCACGCACACGGAGGGCUGGAGUAGACGUGGAAAGACGCAGGAGAGAGGAAAGCGCCCAGCGGUGACGUGAGAGAAGGGAAACGGAGAACGGGCGUGCACAUUUUUUUUUUGUGCCUGUGUGCCACUGUGAACACGUCCGCGUUGGGCCGCAACAGGCAUCUGCACACUGACACACACGCACACGCCGGCCACCCACAGCUGCUAAAGCGCAGGAAAGAGGACGCACCUAGCUGUCAGGCAACUCGCAGACGAGACAGCUCGCUUAGCGCUACGGCAUUCCUACCCACUCCUCCUCUCCAUCCCUUGAACCGCUUCGGCGAGUCUUUACAGGGUUGGGCUCUUCGCGCCUCGUUGGCGCGCGUGCGCUUGUAGUCUGCUCCCAUUAUCUUACGCGAUUCCUCUCCCUCUGAAAAACGCACAUCAACCAUACGCACCAUCUUCUUCAGCGCUGCCUACUUUCUGUACACCUCCUUUUGUUCUUUCGGUUCCAUCGUGUGCUCUGUAUCUCACUGCAACGACUGCCACCGCUGAAGCUGCUGUUGCCACAGUUGUCGUCAUCAACUUUUUGUUUCCAGUGCGCACUCCCCUUUCUCCUUUCGCUGUGUCUGCGUGCGCCGCGUUUCUCUACUCUCGUCCGUUCCUAUUUUCGCGUUCCUUGUCUUCUGCUGCUGCUGUGCAUACGCCUCUCUCUCUCUCUUUUCCUUUUCUUUGUGGUCUCAUCACUCUUUCGUUUUCCGAGUGUGCCCUUCUCCUUUAUUUUCGUUUGUUAGUGUUUUUUUCAUACCUUCGUCGUGCUCCUCUCGUGUUGCCCCAUUCCUUCGUCCCUCGCUCCUCCCCGUCCGUGUGUGUGUGUGAGGAGCGCGCUGCUGUUGUCGUUGUUGCCGGGAGGGGAAGGAGGCGCAAGUGUCGUGGUGCUAAGCCUGCGCUCUCGCUUCUUCUUCGCUGAAGGUGCAUGCAUGUGUGUGUGUGUGGGGAGGCCUCUGUGAUUUCUUCCGGUUUUUCUGUAAAGUUUGGGCAAUUGGCUGUUGCCUCCUUCCCCUCUGUGCACCUCUCCAGCAUACCCGGUUGUAUGCGUCCGUGCGCGGGCAGCUCCUGUGUGCUCCUCUUCUACCUCGACCCGCUUCCUUGCCUCGUGUUUUUUAUGUUUAUUUUGCAUGUUUUCGUGGGCUUCUUCUCGUGUCAACCAUUUCGAUCUUUCUUUUUCCCUUUUCUGUUUGGCCUUUGCACUCCGCCUGCUCUCUCGUCACCACAG